CAUGGUUGUCUAACGGUUGUUGUCCAUUUUAAGAAGGACCACUAUCGCCGUCUGGAAACCCUGUUUGUCUUUGCUGGCGUCGGAAAACCCUUGCUAACGUUAGUUAGCAUCACCGAAUUGAAGAGAUUCUUCGUCAGGUAAAAUCCGGAACACAGCAAGUGUGCAGCAAAGACGCAGGUGAGCCGAAGGACAGGAAAGACGGUCCAGAGGAAGAACGAGUCCCUCAACCCACACGUCGCUUCCUUCAUAAGGGACUUAAUCGAUUAUGAUUGGAAGAACUGAUACCAGGAAGAAGACUUACACCCAUGCAAACAAGUGAGAGACCAGCCCACUACCCUGAUGUGUACGCACAAGAAAUGCUGGCUAUGAUCAGAGCUACCUGAACAGGCAUGCUUUUCUUUUUUAAAAAAAAUCUUUUUCUUACUUAUUUGGCUCUUUUUUACUUGUCUCUUUUGGUUUUAAACAAAGAUUAUUUUACCUGUGUCCUUAAUAUCCACUGAUAGAGGAGUUCCAAGAAGUUUGCACAAUGUUAUGUCCCAAAUGUUCAGUGGACUUUGUGAAGAAUUA